AGAUUGAACGCUGGCGGCAUGCCUUACACAUGCAAGUCGAACGGCAGCACGGGGGCAACCCUGGUGGCGAGUGGCGAACGGGUGAGUAACAUAUCGGAACGUGCCCUGGAGUGGGGGAUAACUAGUCGAAAGAUUAGCUAAUACCGCAUACGAUCUACGGAUGAAAGUGGGGGAUCGCAAGACCUCAUGCUCGUGGAGCGGCCGAUAUCUGAUUAGCUAGUUGGUGGGGUAAAGGCCUACCAAGGCAUCGAUCAGUAGCUGGUCUGAGAGGACGACCAGCCACACUGGGACUGAGACACGGCCCAGACUCUACGGGAGCAGCAGUGGGGAAUUUGGACAAUGGGCGCAAGCCUGAUCCAGCAUGCGCGUGAGUGAAG
rnacentral:rRNA from 1 species